GGGCCCGCACAAGCGGUGGAGCAUGUGGUUUAAUUCGAUGCAACGCGAAGAACCUUACCAGGGCUUGACAUACUACGAAUUCUUUUGAGAAAAAGAAGUGCCUUCGGGAAUGUAGAUACAGGUGGUGCAUGGCUGUCGUCAGCUCGUGUCGUGAGAUGUUGGGUUAAGUCCCGCAACGAGCGCAACCCUUAUUUUUAGUUACUCAUUCGUGAGGUUCUCUAGAAAGACUGCCGGUGACAAACCGGAGGAAGGUGAGGAUGACGUCAAGUCAGCAUGCCCCUUAUGUCCUGGGCUACACACGUGCUACAAUGGCUAAGACAAAGAGUCGCGAGCUUGCGAAAGUCAGCUAAUCUCAUAAACUUAGCCUAAGUUCAGAUUGUAGGCUGCAACUCGCCUACAUGAAGUUGGAAUCGCUAGUAAUCG
rnacentral:rRNA from 1 species